CACUCCUGCGGGAGGCAGCAGUGGGGAAUAUUGCACAAUGGGCGCAAGCCUGAUGCAGCCAUGCCGCGUGUAUGAAGAAGGCCUUCGGGUUGUAAAGUACUUUCAGCGGGGAGGAAGGCGAUAAGGUUAAUAACCUUGUCGAUUGACGUUACCCGCAGAAGAAGCACCGGCUAACUCCGUGCCAGCAGCCGCGGUAAUACGGAGGGUGCAAGCGUUAAUCGGAAUUACUGGGCGUAAAGCGCACGCAGGCGGUCUGUCAAGUCGGAUGUGAAAUCCCCGGGCUCAACCUGGGAACUGCAUUCGAAACUGGCAGGCUAGAGUCUUGUAGAGGGGGGUAGAAUUCCAGGUGUAGCGGUGAAAUGCGUAGAGAUCUGGAGGAAUACCGGUGGCGAAGGCGGCCCCCUGGACAAAGACUGACGCUCAGGUGCGAAAGCGUGGGGAGCAAACAGGAUUAGAUACCCCUGUAGUCCCA
rnacentral:rRNA from 1 species